CUCCAUCCAUUACAUGGCAAGAUCACACUCAGUUUCUGUUCAAAUUUGAUUCAAUUGAAGAUGCCAUUACUCUGCAACAAGCUCACAUGGUAGAAUCUGUUCUUCUACAGUUCAAAUUUAUCACCAUUUUGUACGUCGAGGCUCUCCACAACUCCCUUUCUCUUUAGGAAGCGACAUGACAUUAAUCUACCAUAACGGCCUGCAUCAUUUCUUAGAGUCGAAAGGAGCUUUCUGCAGCAAAGGUACGCAGAAGUUUGUACAGCAACUGAAAUUAAUGAUACCUAAAAUUGAUUCCUCAUUACCAAAAUACACGAAUGCCAUAUUGCAUUACAAUUUAACAUCUCAGUUUUCUGUACCGAUACAUCGAGGGAUCAAUAUCAGGAGCAAGAGAUGGGAAGGUACUUUAUUCUUGUGAGAUGGAAUUGAUUUCCUCUACAUAAACGUGUGCGGGACUUGUUUGGUUGGCAACUGAUUAGAUAGAAUGUAGGCACACACAAAGAGGGUUAAUUGUUUGAAGACGGCAAGUUCAGUGGAUGAACCAUAGUUUGUUGAUGGGGAAAAGAAGAAUAACACAUUAGUUUACGUUGAUUUAGUUACUAUCAGCCAUGUUGCUAGUUUUGGGUUAACUAGGUUUUAUUAAUUUGUUCAUUAGUAUCGUAGAACUAAUUAGCUAUUUUCUCGUAAGACUAUAAAUAGCCUCUUUGAAUUGUAGGAGAUAGCUUUUUGGAUAUUAUUGUAAUAGUUAGGAUUAUUAGAAUGGUAUUUUCUUAACUUGGAGAGGUUACUCCUGUGUUGUGAUGUAUUUCUUGAUGAUUGUUCAUGGCUGUUAACACCAUUCAUCUAAAUACACCCUGCAUCAUUUCUGAUGUGGGUCGUUGAGGUUUUAUCUCUCUAACUUAGCUAAUACAAAUUUUAGCUCUCCCCCCCUCUUGAGCAUCCUAGAAUCAAAACUCCCUUGUUACAAUCAUUAAGAGUUAGUUUGAUAGUGUUUUUUUUUUUGAAAAUUAUGUCUAUUUACUAACCUUUUUGGUUUUCUA